UACGGGAGGCAGCAGUGGGGAAUAUUGCACAAUGGGCGCAAGCCUGAUGCAGCCAUGCCGCGUGUAUGAAGAAGGCCUUCGGGUUGUAAAGUACUUUCAGUCGUGAGGAAGGUGUUAAGGUUAAUAACCUUAGCAAUUGACGUUAGCGACAGAAGAAGCACCGGCUAACUCCGUGCCAGCAGCCGCGGUAAUACGGAGGGUGCGAGCGUUAAUCGGGAUUACUGGGCGUAAAGGGCACGCAGGCGGUUAAUUAAGUUGGAUGUGAAAUCCCCGGGCUUAACCUGGGAAUGGCAUUCAAGACUGGUUAGCUAGAGUCUUGUAGAGGGGGUAGAAUUCCAUGUGUAGCGGUGAAAUGCGUAGAGAUGUGGAGGAAUACCGGUGGCGAAGGCGGCCCCUGGACAAAGACUGACGCUCAUGUGCGAAAGCGUGGGGAGCAAAC
rnacentral:rRNA from 1 species